AGAGCGAACGCUGGCGGCAGGCUUAACACAUGCAAGUCGAGCGGGCGUAGCAAUACGUCAGCGGCAGACGGGUGAGUAACGCGUGGGAACGUACCUUUUGGUUCGGAACAACACAGGGAAACUUGUGCUAAUACCGGAUAAGCCCUUACGGGGAAAGAUUUAUCGCCAAAAGAUCGGCCCGCGUCUGAUUAGCUAGUUGGUGAGGUAACGGCUCACCAAGGCGACGAUCAGUAGCUGGUCUGAGAGGAUGAUCAGCCACAUUGGGACUGAGACACGGCCCAAACUCCUACGGGAGGCAGCAGUGGGGAAUAUUGGACAAUGGGCGCAAGCCUGAUCCAGCCAUGCCGCGUGAGUGAUGAAGGCCCUAGGGUUGUAAAGGCUCUUUUGUGCGGGAAGAUAAUGACGGUACCGCAAGAAUAAGCCCCGGCUAACUUCGUGCCAGCAGCCGC
rnacentral:rRNA from 1 species